rnacentral:rRNA from 1 species
CCUACGGGAGGCAGCAGUGAGGAAUAUUGGUCAAUGGACGAGAGUCUGAACCAGCCAAGUAGCGUGAAGGAUGACUGCCCUAUGGUUUGUAAACUUCUUUUAUAUGGGAAUAAAUGGUUCUACGUGUGGGAUUUUGUAUGUACCAUAUGAAUAAGGACCGGCUAACUCCGGGCCAGCAGCCGCGGUAAUACGGAGGGUCCGAGCGUUAUCCGGAUUUAUUGGGCUUAAAGGGAGCGUAGGUGGAUUGUUAAGUCAGUUGUGAAAGUUGGCGGCUCAACCGGAAAAUUGCAGUUGAAACUGGCAGGCUUGAGUACGGUAGAGGUAGGCGGAAUUCGUGGUGUAGCGGUGAAAUGCUUAGAUAUCACGAAGAACUCCGAUUGCGAAGGCAGCUCACUGGACUGCAACUGACGCUGAGGCUCGAAAGUGUGGGUAUCAAACAGGAUUAGAUACCCCUGUAGUC